AUCCCUCACCUCCUCCUGCCAAGAUCACCCCAAGCAGAAACCAGUAGGCAUAAUAAUUAGUAUGUUUGUAUAUAUAUAUGUGUGUGUGUGUGUGUGUGUAUGUACUUUGCUGAUUAGAUAUUUUAUCAGAUAUCUUAUCUAUAUAAGGAAACAACAACAAAAGUGAAGCUGACAGUGCGUUGAGAGCCGGGCUUUAGCACACCACAGCUCUAUGUCUUAGGAUCCCUCCUCUCUGCCAGUGUGGCGCCCGCCUCCUACUCCCAUCCUCUGCCUCCAGUCUCCUCUGCCAGCCUGUCCUCCAUCCAAGCUCCCUAGGCAUCCUCUUCAAACUCUUUGCUGAUUGCUGUAAGGCAGUGGAGCAUGUGGUUAAGAUUCUGGGCUUCAGGUCAAGCUGAUUUGGGAUUUGAGGACAUUUGCUAACAGUGUGACCUUCGGCAAGUGACUGUGUCUCCCUAAGCCUCAGUUUUCUCAUCUGCAAAAUAGGGAUCAUAACAAACUCUACCUCACGGGGCUGACCCGAAGGGAUGAUGCAUAGCAGAACACAUGGCUCAGCUGGCCAGCCGGCAGGUCUUAGCAGGUCAUAGUGGCGGAAUGACCAGCCCACAAGUCUUAGCAGGUCGCAAUGGUGGAUGCAGGAUGUUUCUGCCUGACCAGCCUCCAUUCUCACUUCCGAACAGUUUCUGCCUGGAUAUGACAAAUGUCGACCUGGAGCUGUUGGGGCCAUCUGGGCAGAAAGGCUGUCCGGGAAUGAAGUCAAAGAGAUGGAAAAAGAGAAAAAGAGGCCGGCGUCUGGGGUCAUGGUUUGAGCCCCCGAAUCCAACUGUACCUGAAGCCCUGUCUGUUUCAGAAACAGAAGGCAAUAAAUUCAGCCUUUGCCUUAAGCCCGUCAAGCCAGUCUGGGGUGCCUCUUUUUUUUAAUCAACCAAACAAAUACUGGUUAAUAAAACUCCCUGCUCAAAA